UUUUAUUUUAUUUUAUUAUAUAACUUCCAAAAUAUAUAGUUGACUUAGUAAUUCAAGUUUUCAGAAUUGUAUUAGUAGUUCACCAUAGCUUUGACUCGAACUCAACCACACAUAAAUCGAGCUCGGCUGUGCAUAGCUUGAUUCAGCCAUGCAUAGCUCAGGCAUGGUCGUGGAUGAUUCGAUCUUGGCAAAACAGAACUCGGGCUCGGCAUCAAAGAGCUCAUCCAAACAGAUAUCUCAUCCACGGAUCUCGGUCUCAUUCAGACACAUGACUCAUCUGCUGUCAGACUAACUCG
rnacentral:misc_RNA from 1 species